AGCAGUUCCUCUACUUUGAAGAAGCCAUACUCAAAGACCCUCUUGCAGCGAAGGAAGUUCAGUUCUCGUAGCUUCUCUAGGGGCAGGUCGGCCCCGUACGAGCGGGCAAAGAGAGGGUCAUUCUCCAAAGUUGAGAAGAUGGUUUUCUGUAAACACAGAGCACAGGGUGCUGACUUGAAAGUCAAAGGGAUCCCAUGGUACUGUCACCUGCACAGAAAACCAAACCCUCCGUGAACAGCCGCACAACAUCAGAACAAGAACAAACCCGGGGGCUACAAAGCCAACAGCAGCAGCGCAGACAGUGGCGCAUCAGCCUGGAGGCCACUGGACGCAGAAGCUGUGACUUACAGGUUCCUGUGCUGAUCUGUACUCAACACUCACAGAGCAGAAGCAACGAUAACUCUGCACACGGGGCAGUGUCUGCCACGUUCCUGGGACUCAAAUCAGGCACUUGUGAUGUUCCUGAGGUCCCGCUUUUAAGAGUCAGUGUUAUGUUGGCAUAAUGGACUGACCCAUGAUGCCAAGACUGAGUCAGGAGGAUAGCGUUCGAGGGCAGCCGGAUCAACUGAGACUCAAACGGAGAACUAAGGUUUCAGGUGUAGAUCAGCGGUAGCGCACUUCCUUAAGAAUUCGCUAAGUCCACAAUGCACUUGAGAAGUAUAAAUAGUGUCCUGCCCGGGCACAGUAGGGAGCAGUCCUCAGACACUACAAAUUCAACUUACAAGCUAACUUUGUUCUGUCUUGGGAUACCUCCCGGCCGCCGAGCAGAUUGUAAAAAGCUGCGGUCAGUUCGUUCUCCCGCUAGCGAGUAUGAUGUCAGGCAGAGUGCAAACGCCAGCAGUCACCCCAGCCUGAGCUCCUGCAAACCCUUCCUGUCUGGAAUCUCCCGGGCCCGGCACGUCCUCACCUCCCGGAUCCAGCUUGGGAUUCGUGGUCCUAGUCAACCCGGCGUCUGGAGGACACUAUUUAUCAGGAAUAUCCUGACUUCUGAGGGCGGAGCAAGCUGGUGGUGCCGCCCCGCCCCACCCCGCCCCAUCCCGGACAUCAUCCCUCCCUUGACUGGGGUUGCUGCCGGCUGAAGCCUUGCGUCAUCAUUCUGAGCCGCCCCGUCGCCAGGGAAACGCGGACGCUUCCGAGAGCUCAGCUCAAAUGCGGUUCCGGGUUUAGAGUUUAAAGGAUUUCAUUCCGGUUGCCUUCUCCCGGGUUAGAUGCUUCGGGCUUAUUCAGAAACCGCCUUCGGUCAGAGCUGUCGUGUUUAGGUCCAGGCCUCUCGUGGCUCUGGGAGCACUUCCAGGAGAGUUGGACCGCGGAUCCAUUAAGAUGCACUUUACUCAGAAUUGCUCCUAAUUUUCCAGAUGGCUUCCUUGCUAGGCACUCCUAAAUAGUGCUCGAGUUGGCAGAUUCCCAAAGUCACUACAGAACUGCUCAGCGCACCCCUGGCUAGGAGUUUCUGAGCAAAUAUCUGCUUGUCCAGCCAGGACUUUCAUCAUUGUGGUACAGCUGAGAGGAAAUGUGUGCCUGCAUGGGUACAGCUGAUACCUUUGAAAAGGACUAAAAUGAUGGAUAAUGGAGUUAGGGCCAGAGAAAGAUGCUGAAUUCCGUUUCAGAGACAGACUUAAGGCAUUGGGAUCAGACACAAGUGGACUCUGCCGCUGCCAGCUAAGGCUGGGAGCUGCUUGCCUUACUGCAUAACUACUUUGUCCGCAGCAAUUACUGCAUUUAUGGCUCUGACUCAGAACACACUUGCAGUCACAGGUGUCAGUGGGGCUUUCCUAUUGGAAAGUAGGGAGUCCUGCACAUGGGUCAUGAACUCAUAAUGGAGAGGACUGACUCCAGAAAGAGGUCCUUCAAUCUCCAGGAACAUUCCCUGGUACAUUAGUGCCUGCACACACUAUACAAUUAUUAUUAUUAUUACUAAUAAUAGUACUAAUAAUUAUUAAUAAUAAUAAUAGCAAAGGGAAAUGACUGAAGGGAGGGCAGCCUAAGGAAUAUGAUUGCUCCCACCAUAAACAGUCACCAAAUAAACUCAGAUAAACCAAGAACAAAUGCAUCCUUCUCACCUGGGGUGCAGUUGUCACAGGGCCUCCCACCACCAAGCAGGGGAACCUGGCAGCAAAGGCAGAAGACAGCAGCCACCAACCCUGGAUGCCUUGCUCUAGUCUAGCCUAGAAGUUUCCGGAAACAGAGAAGCACUCCUACCCAGUCACCUUCAUAGUGCCUGAACAGCUGGUAAGAUUGUCUUCUGCCUUUCUGAAGAGUCUGAAUGGGCAGUCAGUCUCCACCGGCAUUUACAACCUGAACUCUGUCAUUGCAAGGAGUCCUUGAGUUCACAGGGCUGCUCAGAAUGGCCUGCAAGCAUGCAUGCUAUUGUUUUUCCAAAGCCAGAGAGAAACAAGGUUUCCUCAUUACAGAAUUCACUCACUACAGAAUUCAUAUGUAUCUCACAAGUUCUGUCCAAGCACAGCUAAUAAGUCAGAUUCCUGUGUUAACAUGAGGAAAACAUUGCUUCCUUGGGAAUUAUCAGUUUAGAUGAACUGUGGGGAGAUUGACUCCCUAAAAUUAAGGUUUUCCUCAGCAACAAUGGCAUUGUUAUCUGGGCUAUGUGAUGGCUCAUAGGCAUAGGAGCAGAACAGGGGUAUAAGGAUUGUUCUAUGGGCUCUUUGGGAAAGUGGGUUCUUACCCCCAAGGACAGACAAAAUGGGUGGUGUCCCUCUGAGGCUGGUAGCAGUUGUUGGGUCAGCGUCCUUGGGGAAGGAUAUUUGUGCCGUGCUGUGAUUUUGUUAAGAGGCAAACAUUACCUAGAUUCAUGCCCAG
rnacentral:lncRNA from 1 species